UGCAACUUUUGUAAUGGUGAGGUACAGUAGACAACGAUCCCUCUGAGGCAGUAUUUCUCCUAGACUUUGAAGGAAUACUGAUUUGGCCUCCACGGUUUAUUUACUGGCAUUGCCUGUGCUGGCUGUAGGAAGACCAUAACAGUGUAGUACUGUGAGUAAUGAUGCACAUGGGGACCUGAUGAGCUCCCAGAAGAUCAUCUGAAGGCUGAUGCCAUGUUGCAGGAAACUUAAGAGAAGCCCUUCAAAUCAUCAGGGAAGUGUUUCUGAGUCAGCAAAUGGAACCCAUCACAUUUUCCAGCUUCCAGGAGGGAUGGUUCAGGAGAAAUGCAAACCACUGAUGAGCCAGUAACAGUAAACAGCAGGAAGAGCAAAGUGGAGCAGCUUGGAAGGAAGGCCUAAGUGGACACCAGGAGAGAGAGUUGAGCACUCUCACUCUGGCAGUGGGAUCUAAACUGGAGGCAUUAUGUCAUGAGAAAUAUCAGAGAUAAGAAAUCCUGGAAAACCAUAAUUUGUGUGCAAGCUGACAUGUUUCAACAGCAUGGACAGGGAUGAAAAGUGGGAAGAUGGAGCAGCCUUGCUGCCAGCUGCUCAGUGUUGGUCACUGCCUGUGAGAAGGAUGGGCCCAUCAGCACGGCUGAGCGCAGCCGUUCAUCACCCAGCGCGUGCAGAGGUGGGCUUGGAAAUGACCUUGAGCACUGCACCCAGCAGCACUUGGCCAGGCCACUGGUAAUGUCCAUGCCGUAUC